UACAGAGGGUGCGAGCGUUGUCCGGAAUCACUGGGCGUAAAGGGCGCGUAGGCGGCUCGGUCAGCGUGCGGUGAAAGCCCGGGGCUCAACCCCGGGUCGGCCGUGCGAACUGCUGGGCUGGAGCACUGUAGAGGCAGGUGGAAUUCCGGGUGUAGCGGUGGAAUGCGUAGAGAUCCGGAAGAACACCGGUGGCGAGGGCGGCCUGCUGGGCAGUAGCUGACGCUGAUGCGCGACAGCGUGGGGAGCAAACAGG
rnacentral:rRNA from 1 species